GACGAACCGUCCAAACGUUAUUCGGAAUCACUGGGCUUAAAGGGUGCGUAGGCGGUCCGGUAAGUUGGGUGUGAAAUACCUCGGCUCAACCGAGGAACUGCGCCCAAAACUGCCGGGCUCGAGGGAGACAUAGGUGUGCGGAACUUAGGGUGGAGCGGUGAAAUGCGUUGAGAUCCUAGGGAACACCAGUAGCGAAAGCGGCACACUGGGUCUCUUCUGACGCUGAUGCACGAAAGCCAGGGGAG
rnacentral:rRNA from 1 species